rnacentral:rRNA from 1 species
UACGUAGGGUGCGAGCGUUGUCCGGAAUUAUUGGGCGUAAAGAGCUUGUAGGCGGUUUGUCGCGUCUGCCGUGAAAAUUCGAGGCUCAACCUCGAACUUGCGGUGGGUACGGGCAGACUAGAGUGUGGUAGGGGAGACUGGAAUUCCUGGUGUAGCGGUGAAAUGCGCAGAUAUCAGGAGGAACACCGAUGGCGAAGGCAGGUCUCUGGGCAGUAACUGACGCUGAGGAGCGAAAGCGUGGGGAGCGAACAGG